CUUGAUUAUGAGUGAUUUGGAUAACAGAAUAACAGAGAGGAAGGUAGAGAUGAAUUGAAAAGAAAGCAAUGGCUGUAGUUGGAGUUGGUGUGCAGCAACAGUUUUUGUGUUCCUCUGAAUCAAAGUGGAGAAUUCCAACUACGCCAUGCAAUCCCCUUACGAACUCCAUUCUCAUACGCCCAUUCAAAAAGAUUCAAUUUUCAGUCAUUUCAUGCUCUUCUUCUUCUUCUUCUUCCUCACCACCGUCACAGGCCGCAGAAGCUGAAACUCAAACUGCUGAAUCUUGCGUCAAUUUAGGUCUUCAGCUCUUCUCCAAAGGAAGGGUUAAGGAUGCUUUAGCCCAGUUUGAAACAGCGCUUACCUUGAAUCCCAAUCCCGUGGAGGCCCAAGCUGCUUUCUACAACAAAGCUUGCUGCCAUGCAUACAGAGGGGAAGGAAAGAAAGCUGCCGAUAGUCUCCGUACUGCUUUGAGGGAAUACAACCUAAAAUUUGGUACAAUUCUCAAUGAUCCAGACUUGGCCUCUUUUAGAGCUUUGCCUGAGUUCAAAGAACUACAAGAAGAGGCCAGGAUAGGUGGGGAAGAUAUUGGCAACAGUUUUCGGAGAGAUCUAAAACUUAUUAGUGAAGUUCAGGCACCGUUUCGUGGGGUUAGGAGGUUUUUUUAUGUGGCAUUCACAGCAGCUGCAGGAAUAUCAUUGUUCUUCACUCUACCCAGGCUAAUCCGUGCAAUUCAAGGUGGUGAUGGUGCUCCUGAUCUACUGGAAACUGCAGGGAAUGCUGCCAUUAACAUUGGAGGCAUUGUUUCUUUUGUGGCAUUAUUUUUUUGGGACAAUAAAAAGGAGGAGGAGCAGAUUGAACAAAUAUCUCGAGAUGAGACACUAUCAAGGCUGCCUUUGCGCUUAACAACUAAUCGUGUAGUUGAACUUGUUCAGCUACGGGACACAGUUAGGCCGGUUAUAUUAGCUGGGAAAAAAGAAACAGUAUCUUUGGCUUUGCAAAGAGCAGAACGAUUUCGCACUGAGCUCGUUAGACGUGGUAUCCUGUUAGUUCCUGUCAUAUGGGGAGAAGGUAGGGAAACCAAAACAAAAACAAAAAUUGAGAAGAAAGGUUUUGGUCGUCCACAAAAGGCUGCUGAAGCUCUUCCGUCCAUUGGGAUUUUGAUAAGCGAACACAGUCCAUAGCUUCAAAAUCAAAGUUGAAAGCAGAAAUCAGGUUCAAGGCUGAAGUUGUAUCGCAAGCAGAAUGGGAACAGUGGAUAAGAGAUCAGCAGAAAUCUGAAGGAGUUACUGUUGGCGAAGACGUGUACAUAAUAAUGCGCUUAGAUGGGAGGAUUCGAAGAUCGGGGAAAGGAAUGCCUGACUGGCAGCAAAUUGUGAAGGAGCUACCAGAAAUGGAAGCAUUUUUAAGCAAGCUGGAAAGAUGAGAAAUUUUACAUGGCAUACUUUUGUUACAGAAUUUCUAGAGUGCAAGUAUUUAUUUAUGUCUCACAGAAAUAUUUAUGUGUACAUCAUUCCUUCACGAUCAUUACUGACAGUUGCAAAGUGUUACAACUGAGACUUAUUAUGAAUGGAAAAAUAAAAACUAUACCUUGGCAACAAA